rnacentral:misc_RNA from 1 species
UUAAGUUCAGCGGGUAUCCCUACCUGAUCCGAGGUCAAGUCGUGGAGGUUAGCUUCCUGGACGCGAGCCCGGUGCCACGCCUCGAGAAGCGCAAUCUUCGCUGCGCGAGAAGCUGGCAAAGGCCGCCGCCAAUACCUUUGAGGCGAGUCCGCGCCCGACGGCGGGACAGACGCCCAACACCAAGCAGGGCUUGAGGAUGUAAAUGACGCUCGAACAGGCAUGCCCCAUGGAAUACCAAGGGGCGCAAUGUGCGUUCAAAGAUUCGAUGAUUCACUGAAUUCUGCAAUUCACACUACUUAUCGCAUUUCGCUGCGUUCUUCAUCGAUGCCAGAACCAAGAGAUCCGUUGUUGAAAGUUUUAACUAUUAAGUAGUACUCAGACAACACUUAUACAUAGCGUUUAGGGUCCUCUGGCGCGCGUACCGGGGAGACCCCGGGUCCGGAGACAGCGCGCCAAAGCAACGAUUGAUAAUAAUACACAAGGGUGGGAGAUCUACCCCGAAGGGCAUGAACUCUGUAAUGAUCCUU